AGAGUUUGAUCCUGGCUCAGAAUCAACGCUGGCGGCGUGCCUAACACAUGCAAGUCGAACGAGAAAGUGGAGCAAUCCAUGAGUACAGUGGCGACCGGGUGAGUAACACGUGACUAACCUACCCUAGAGUGGGGAAUAACUUCGGGAAACCGAGGCUAAUACCGCAUAACAUCGCGAGGGGAAGAUCCUUGCGAUCAAAGGAGCAAUUCGCUCAAGGAGGGGGUCGCGGCUGAUUAGUUAGUUGGCGGGGUAACGGCCCACCAAGACAAAGAUCAGUAUCCGGCCUGAGAGGGCGCACGGACACACUGGAACUGAAACACGGUCCAGACUCCUACGGGAGGCAGCAGUGGGGAAUUUUGCGCAAUGGGGGAAACCCUGACGCAGCAACGCCGCGUGGAGGAUGAAGUCCCUUGGGAUGUAAACUCCUUUCGAUCGGGACGAUUAUGACGGUACCGGAAGAAGAAGCACCGGCUAACUCUGUGCCAGCAGCCGCGGUAAUA
rnacentral:rRNA from 1 species